AAAGUCGUAACAAGGUCUCCGUUGGUGAACCAGCGGAGGGAUCAUUACUGAGUUAUUCAACUCCCAAACCCACUGUGAACCUUACUCUUCGUUGCUUCGGCAGGUCUUAAUCGCCCCGGGCGCCGUCUGCGUGCCCCGGAACCAGGCGCCUGCCGGAGGACACCAAACUCAAGUUUUUACUACGUGGUUGUACUCUGAGUGAAUUGAUGAAAUAAAAUCAAAACUUUCAACAACGGAUCUCUUGGUUCUG
rnacentral:misc_RNA from 1 species